rnacentral:rRNA from 1 species
UACAGAGGUCUCAAGCGUUGUUCGGAUUCAUUGGGCGUAAAGGGUGCGUAGGUGGCGCCGUAAGUCGGGUGUGAAAUUUCGGAGCUUAACUCCGAAACUGCAUUCGAUACUGCGGUGCUUGAGGACUGGAGAGGAGACUGGAAUUCAUGGUGUAGCAGUGAAAUGCGUAGAGAUCAUGAGGAAGACCAGUGGCGAAGGCGGGUCUCUGGGCCGAUACUGACGCUGAGGAGCGAAAGCGUGGGAAGCGAACAGG